AGAGUUUGAUCAUGGCUCAGAACGUACGCUGGCGGCACGCCUAAUACAUGCAAGUCGAACGAAGUAGCAAUACUUAGUGGCAGACGGGUGAGUAACAUGUAGGUAUCUACCCUUUGGCCUGGAAUAACACGAGGAAACUUGUGCUAAUACCGGAUAAGUCUUUACGGAGAAAGCUUUAUGCACCAUUGGAUGAGCCUGCACUUGAUUAGUUUGUUGGUGGGGUAAUGGCCUACCAAGACAAUGAUCAAUAGCUGAUUUGAGAGGAUGAUCAGCCACAUUGGGACUGAGACACGGCCCAAACUCCUACGGGAGGCAGCAGUAGGGAAUCUUGCACAAUGGAGGAAACUCUGAUGCAGCGAUGCCGCGUGAGUGAAGAAGGCCUUUGGGUUGUAAAGCUCUUUCGUCGGGGAAGAAAAUGACUGUACCCGAAUAAGAAGGUCCGGCUAACUUCGUGCCAGCAGCCGCGGUAAUACGAAGGGACCUAGCGUAGUUCGGAAUUACUGGGCUUAAAGAGUUCGUAGGUGGUUAAAAAAGUUGGUGGUGAAAUCCCAGAGCUUAACUCUGGAACUGCCAUCAAAACUUUUUAGCUAGAGUAUGAUAGAGGAAAGCAGAAUUUCUAGUGUAGAGGUGAAAUUCGUAGAUAUUAGAAAGAAUACCAAUUGCGAAGGCAGCUUUCUGGAUCAUUACUGACACUGAGGAACGAAAGCAUGGGUAGCGAAGAGGAUUAGAUACCCUCGUAGUCCAUGCCGUAAACGAUGUGUGUUAGACGUUGGAAAUUUAUUUUCAGUGUCGCAGCGAAAGCGAUAAACACACCGCCUGGGGAGUACGACCGCAAGGUUAAAACUCAAAUGAAUUGACGGGGACCCGCACAAGUAGUGGAGCAUGUGGUUUAAUUCGAAGAUACGCGCAGAACCUUACCAACACUUGACAUGUUCGUCGCGACUCUAAGAGAUUAGAGUUUUCGGUUCGGCCGGACGAAACACAGGUGCUGCAUGGCUGUCGUCAGCUCGUGUCGUGAGAUGUUGGGUUAAGUCCCGCAACGAGCGCAACCCUUACUUUUAGUUGCCAUCAUUUAGUUGGGCACUCUGAAAGAACUGCCAGUGAUAAGCUGGAGGAAGGUGGGGAUGACGUCAAGUCCUCAUGGCCCUUAUGUGUUGGGCUACACACGUGCUACAAUGGUAUCUACAACAGGAAGCAAGAUGGCAACAUUAAGCAAAUCCCAAAAAGAUACCUCAGUUCGGAUUGCACUCUGCAACUCGAGUGCAUGAAGCUGGAAUUACUAGUAAUCGUGGAUCAGCGUGCCACGGUGAAUACGUUCCCGGGUCUUGUACACACCGCCCGUCACACCAUGGGAGUUGGUUCUACCUUAAGGCAAAAUGUUAACCUUCGGGAAGCAUUUGACCACGGUAUAGUCAGCGACUGGGGUGAAGUCGUAACAAGGUAGCC
rnacentral:rRNA from 1 species